GCAUCAAGAAUCCUCUUGGCACACGAGAUAACCCAGCACGAAUCUGCAAAGAUUUACUUAACUGUGAACAAAAAGUAUCAGAUGGAAAAUACUGGAUUGACCCAAAUCUUGGCUGUCCUUCAGAUGCCAUUGAGGUUUUCUGCAAUUUCAGUGCUGGUGGCCAGACAUGCUUACCUCCUGUUUCUGUAACAAAGGCAUUCACCAUUAUUACCCCUGAAAUAGAAGAGGGAAGGAUCCUUCCAUUCCUAGGGAAUCAUGAACCUCUAAUAAAGAGCAGCAUGAUAGUCCUACUUCCAAAAUAUCCACAUCAUCAUCCUCAUUCCAGUGGAAGUUGGCAUAGGAUUAUCAUAGAAGGAAAGAAGAUGGGGCUGUGUGAACUGUGCAGAGGAAAUAGGAGCAGUGGGGAAGCGGACUCUAGUUGUUUCCAUGACCAAAUCACUUCUCUAAUUUCUUUGAUUCAUAAACUCAACCCAAGGAAGACCAGAGAAGUACUGGGAUGAACAGUAGACUUGGAAUCAGGGACUGGGGUUCUAGUCUCUAUUCUAUGAACCUAGGGAAUAAAACUGUGAUCCACCAGAGGGCCUGCUCUGUGCCAGGAACAAUGCUAGUUGGAGUUUGGAGUUGGGAAAGUCCAGAUGAACUUCCUUCAUUUACUGAGUUCGGAAGCCACCCAUAUCAUCACCAUUCACUGUCUAAACACCCCAAGGUGGACAAGCACACAAACAAGUGGCCCAGGAUUGCCUAUUGGUUUCAAGGGAUGGAAUGGCCAGAUUUUUAAAGUAAA
rnacentral:lncRNA from 10 species